GAUGAACGCUAGCUACAGGCUUAACACAUGCAAGUCGAGGGGAAACGACAUCGAAAGCUUGCUUUUGAUGGGCGUCGACCGGCGCACGGGUGAGUAACGCGUAUCCAACCUGCCCACCACUUGGGGAUAACCUUGCGAAAGUAAGACUAAUACCCAAUGAUAUCCCACGAAGACAUCUGAAUGGGAUUAAAGAUUUAUCGGUGAUGGAUGGGGAUGCGUCUGAUUAGCUUGUUGGCGGGGUAACGGCCCACCAAGGCAACGAUCAGUAGGGGUUCUGAGAGGAAGGUCCCCUACAUUGGAACUGAGACACGGUCCAAACUCCUACGGGAGGCAGCAGUGAGGAAUAUUGGUCAAUGGGCGAGAGCCUGAACCAGCCAAGUAGCGUGCAGGAAGACGGCCCUAUGGGUUGUAAACUGCUUUUAGAAGGGAAUAAAGUGGGUCACGUGUGACUUUUUGCAUGUACCUGAUGAAUAAGGACCGGCUAAUUCCGUG
rnacentral:rRNA from 1 species